rnacentral:lncRNA from 1 species
UUCCGGGUUCUUCUUCCCACCCCGCUCCCCGCAUGCGCCAAAUGACUACUAAUACGGAAUGCGGAAGUGACGGACUAUAAAUUGUUCCCUCUGCUUAUACCUGGGCUCAGACCUCUGGAGAGUGAUCUCCUCUGACCUGCCAGUGUGAAAUAAUCUUGCCUUCCAAGAUCUCCGAGUGCCGCUUGGCUCUUCUGCCUGGUGAUCCAGACCAGGUUCCGUAACAUUUGGUUUCCUGACCGGGAAACCAUGCUGGCCCAUUAUUGCCACCGGUUUGGGAAAACGGCGAGGCGGUGACGGAACGAGGAAUCGCAACGGAGAAGGCGCGCCCUGCCUGAAUUUCGGCAGUCUCCCUCUCGGUGGCCUCAGGCCGGCCCCAGUCUGUCUGCCGUUCCCACUGGACUGGAGGAGACUUGGCCGUGGAGCAUCUGGACCCGACGUCGGAUACAGUUGCCAUGAGGAUGAGAGCUGCUUUGUUCUAUCUGAUGGCUACUUUUCUGGUUCUGUGAUUUGGGGAAGAAGGGGAACAGAUUUCACAAAAUCCCCUUCAUGUCCUUACUUAGAAUGA